AUGAAUACAAACUUUCAGUUUUGGAUUAGCCUAAACAAUUUUUUUCUUUUUUUCCAGGUGCUUUUUCUUCUUUCGCUUUGUAAAAAUGAAGGGGGAAAGCUCUGCCCUGGGGUAGUGCAGCUCCCUUUCCUGUUGUUCCAUCCUGUUGUUGGGCUAGGGAGCCACUUCCAGAUGUGUUUAUCCUGAAUGUCCUUAUCCUGUGUGCCAUUUGGUCAUGCUGAGCUCAAGAGGGAGCUUGCCCUGGACCCAGCUCAGAGGAUACUGCUGCAGGAGCCACUGCUCUGAGCAAAGCGCUGUGAAAACAUCCAGGAAACGUCUGUUCCUGCCCUAAUCCCUGAAAUGCGUCCCUCAUAAACACAGCCAAAAAAACUGGGUGCUUUUUCUGUGCAGAGUGGAGAGAGCUGCUGUGGGAACUUUGAGAGCUUGAGUGUCUUUUGAAUGUAAGUUCUCAGCACUGAAGUGCAUAAAUAGAGGGCUUUGCAUCUCAUAAUUUAUAAUUCAGCCCAAGACAUGCACUAAUACCUUUAUCAGAAUUGGGAACGUUGCUCAAAGCACAAAUCACUGAGGAACAGGCAGACAUUAAGGGCUGCUGUUUCUCUCUCUGUCUGGAAUAACAGCCAAGAAUCAGUGAGAUUUUCUCCUAAACAAAUCUUUCACUGUUGUGUGUGAAUAAAUAAAAUUUCUCUUUUUUUUUUUUUUUUUUUUUUUUUUUUUUUUUUUUUUUUUUUUUUGGGCAGGCCAGGAAGGAAAGGAAAAGCUGAAGUGCCUUAGGUGCACGGAAGCAUUUUGCUCUCUUCCCUGACUUUGCUUAGUGCCACCUGUGUUUCCCCACCGCAGGGUAAGAGCAGGAGGGCUGAGGAUUUGGGAUAGGCAAGCCUGGAACAGGGAAGAAAUUUCUUCACAUCUGUCCCUGGUUGUGGGACCUCUGGUUCUGGUGGCCAGGCAGUGAAAUCAGGAAGUUUGGGGAGAUAAACCCACCUCAUCCUGGUGGGAAGGAGAUGGGAGCAGCCUGGUCUAGUUGGAAGUGGAUGGCCUUUAGAGUCCCUUGCGAUCCAUGAGAUCAGUGUUCCUGUGGCUGUGGCAGGGAAAGAGGUGGUGGAGAAGCUGUUCUGUGAGCAGCACAGGAUGGUUUUGAGUAUCCCCUAAAGUGCUUCAGCUCAGAGUGGAAAAGAAAAAAUAACCCUCUUGGGAACGCUGAUGCAUUUGCCAGGGUUUCUGUAGCCACAAUAUACCCCAGGCAACCACCCAUGGUUCAUUUACAAGCCCUGGGUGGUGCAGAAAACAAGAACUGCCCUUCAGAACCCCCCUAAGGACCUUCUCCCGCAGUCCCCCGGUGCUGACACAGCCCAGCUUCACAG
rnacentral:lncRNA from 1 species